CAGAGGGUGCAAGCGUUGUUCGGAAUUAUUGGGCGUAAAGCGCGUGUAGGCGGCUUAGCAAGUCGGGCGUGAAAGCCCUCGGCUCAACCGAGGAAGUGCACCCGAAACUGCUGAGCUUGAGUGCCGGAGAGGAUGGCGGAAUUCCCCCAGUAGAGGUGAAAUUCGUAGAUAUGGGGAGGAACACCGGUGGCGAAGGCGGCCAUCUGGACGGUAACUGACGCUGAGACGCGAAAGCGUGGGGAGCAAACAGGAUUAGAUACCCUGGUAGUCCACGCCGUAAACGAUGAGAACUAGAUGUCGCGGGUGUUGACCCCUGCGGUGUCGCAGCUAACGCAUUAAGUUCUCCGCCUGGGAAGUACGGUCGCAAGAUUA
rnacentral:rRNA from 1 species